rnacentral:lncRNA from 1 species
UUAAAAUCAUUAAAAAGGGAUUUGAGAUGUUGUGUAGAGAUUAGAAUUUCGUAAGAAACCAGUGAGAGAUAAGAAAAUUCAUGUUGUGAAACUCAGCAAUAAUGGUGUUCAUAGCACCAUCGGACAAAAACCCAUCAGGGAAAGGCUGGAGACAAACCAGACGAAGCUUUCAGUGACCAUCUCGCAUGGUGGAUUCUCCUGGGGUCUCAAAGAUAGAAGAAAUCAACGAGGUAAGGCUUCACGACGACUGGUUGUCAAAAGAGGUGAGUCUGGAGGUGGUCGGAGGGGCGGUGAGUUCAUAAGAGAAUAAGAGAGAACCAGAAGGUUCUAGAGAGAA